rnacentral:rRNA from 1 species
GAUUGAACGCUGGCGGCAGGCCUAACACAUGCAAGUCGAGCGGUUGAAGGAAGCUUGCUUUCUGAUUUAGCGGCGGACGGGUGAGUAAUGCCUAGGAAUCUGCCUGGUAGUGGGGGACAACGUUUCGAAAGGAACGCUAAUACCGCAUACGUCCUACGGGAGAAAGCAGGGGACCUUCGGGCCUUGCGCUAUCAGAUGAGCCUAGGUCGGAUUAGCUAGUUGGUGAGGUAAUGGCUCACCAAGGCGACGAUCCGUAACUGGUCUGAGAGGAUGAUCAGUCACACUGGAACUGAGACACGGUCCAGACUCCUACGGGAGGCAGCAGUGGGGAAUAUUGGACAAUGGGCGAAAGCCUGAUCCAGCCAUGCCGCGUGUGUGAAGAAGGUCUUCGGAUUGUAAAGCACUUUAAGUUGGGAGGAAGGGCAGUCAGCGAAUACCUUGCUGUCUUGACGUUACCGACAGAAUAAGCACCGGCUAACUCUGUGCCAGCAGCCGCGGUAAUACAGAGGGUGCAAGCGUUAAUCGGAAUUACUGGGCGUAAAGCGCGCGUAGGUGGUUUGUUAAGUUGAAUGUGAAAUCCCCGGGCUCAACCUGGGAACUGCAUCCAAAACUGGCAAGCUAGAGUAGGGCAGAGGGUGGUGGAAUUUCCUGU